CCUACGGGUGGCAGCAGUCGAGAAUCAUUCACAAUGGGGGAAACCCUGAUGGUGCGACGCCGCGUGGGGGAAUGAAGGUCUUCGGAUUGUAAACCCCUGUCAUGUGGGAGCAAAUUAAAAAGAUAGUACCACAAGAGGAAGAGACGGCUAACUCUGUGCCAGCAGCCGCGGUAAUACAGAGGUCUCAAGCGUUGUUCGGAAUCACUGGGCGUAAAGCGUGCGUAGGCUGUUUCGUAAGUCGUGUGUGAAAGGCGCGGGCUCAACCCGCGGACGGCAGAUGAUACUGGGAGACUAGAGUAAGGGAGGGGGAAGCGGAAUGCUCGGUGUAGCAGUGAAAUGCGUAGAUAUCGAGAGGAACACUCGUGGCGAAGGCGGGUUCCUGGACAUUAACUGACGCUGAGGCACGAAGGCCAGGGGAGCGAAAGGGAUUAGAUACCCCAGUAGUC
rnacentral:rRNA from 1 species